CUGCAGAUGCUCCCGUUGCUGGGGAAAUGUCACUGUUAGGAGAAUAGAAAACUUAUUCCAAAGAGUAUUGAAGACUGACUGAAUCAGGUCUGGAACAUUAUUGAAAUGGGAGGAGAUGAGACCAGGUCUGAGCUCCUCCUGGGAGCGGGGCUUCUCUCCCCUGAGAUCCCUGGGAAUGGAAGCAGCUGAAGCUGGAGGUCAUUAACAUUUUGAGAACACCGCAAACUGACACCAUGAAAAAAUACUGGAAAGCGAAAGGGGGAAGAAAAGAAGAC